AAGUGGCCCAGUGGCCUAGAGGCAUAAAUGGGAGGGGGCUCUCCUCAGAGGCCAAAGGCAGCUGUGGUCCUGAGCUGUGCUUUCGGGAGAAACAAGAAACCCCAUGCCUCAUGCCCGUGGUAAACUGGCUUCCUGUUUCUCAUAAUGCUGAAAACAUUGAGACUUCAGUGAAAUAACCAUCUUCGGAGCUGGCGAUCUGACAGGAUGUGAUUCAGGACACUGGGAAGGGAGCCCCACCCAAAGCAUCUCCCUUAGGAAUUCGUCUCCGCAGGCCAUUUCCAGCAUCAGAGAGACAUCCUCCGUGUAAGACUUUCCUUGUCGGGAAUAUCCAGCCAGAAUGUAAAUAUCCCUGGAAACUUCCUUCACCAGCAAAAUGCAGACAAUGACACUGCCCUUCUCACGGGAUCGAUGUGAAGAAUAAAUGAGUUCAUACAUAUAAAACGCUUCCAGCCGGGUUUGCUGUCAUUAUCAAUUAUUAACAAUGAAGACCCGGAGGGAAAGUUACUUGCUCAGCAACACUGAACUAGCUGAUGGUAGGGACGGCCGCAAAAAAAGUAUGUGUUUUCAUUUUCCAAGGCUCUCUUUUUCCUAACGCAUUUUAUUUUUUUUCUUUCGGGCCAAGAGUCCUCUUUCCUGGCAGAAAGUCCUUGGCGCACAUCAGUCAGAUUUUUUUCUCCUUACAUAUGAGGACUCCAAAGGCCAGUGAGGCCAGAGUCACACAACCACCAGGGGACAGAGAAUCCGCGGGCCGCAGCAGCCCCUGGGAGCACAGCCCCACUUCCUGCAGCCUUCACCAGCCCUUCCACUUUUCCUUGGCUCCCAAAUCCUCCCUCAGCUUCGAUUAAUGAUUUGCAGACUCUUACAAGUAGUCGCCAGUGGAAUAGUUUUGUUUUGAUGUCUCCCAGGACGCCCAACAUGUCCAACACGCCCAACACGCCCAGCACGUACCCACGGGGGCAGGGUCUGCCCUCAGGAGGCAGGAAGGGGGAGCCUGGCCCUCCCUGGGCACUGCACCACCACGUACCGCACGUCCAUGCUUCUGAAGCCACACCUGGGGAGUCACAGCUAGGCUGUGCAUUCCUUUUUGGAGAGGAGGCACAGACCAGAUCAGAACCCCCCCUGGCCCCCCCCCCCAAAACCCCUAAGUUUACCUCCCAGUCUCUUUUCUAUAAAAUAGAGGGAAUGACACUUGACUUGUCUAACACUUCUUUAGUUGUGCAAGUCAAACAAGAUAGUCCGGGGGAAGGAACUUAGAAAUCUCUAAACCAGUGGUCCCCAACCUUUUUGGCAACCGGGACCGGCGCUCCUGUGAGAAUCUAAUGCCUGAGGAUCCGAGGAGGGGCUGAGGCGGGGAUGCUGGAGCUGGGGAGCGGCUGCAGACACAGAUGAAGCUUCGCUCUUUCACCCGCCGCUCACCUCCUGCUGUGCAGCCCCGGUUCCUCACAGGCCCUGGACCUGGUCCCCGGGCGCUGGGGACCCCUGCUCUAACGCAGUGAUU